rnacentral:lncRNA from 1 species
CACAAACACAGAGCUACUGAAAAUUGUUAUUUGUCCAGUCUAAAUUUGACCAACUGGGGACAUUUUGUUGAACCCCACAAGGUCAAAUGCUAUUUCUAAGGGGUUUAGGGUUAAGGUUAGAAUUAGUGUUAGGGUUAGAAUUAGGGUUAGGGUUAGAAUUAGGGUUAGGGUUAGGCGCUAGGGUUAGGUUUAGGGUUAGGAGCUAGAGUUAGGGUUAGGGUUAGGGUUAGCGUUAGGGUUAGGGUUAGGAGCUAGAGUUAGGGUUAGGAGCUAGGGUUAGGGUUAGGAGCUAGGGUUAGGUUUAGGGUUAGGAGCUAGAGUUAGGGUUAGGAGCUAGGGUUAGGGUUAGGAGCUAGAGUUAGGGUUAGGAGCUAGGGUUAGGGUUAGGAGCUAGGGUUAGGUUUAGGGGUUAGGAGCUAGAGUUAGGUUUAGGGGUUAGGAGCUAGGGUUAGGUUUAGGGGUUAGGAGCUAGGGUUAGGUUUAGGGGUUAGGAGCUAGGGUUAGGUUUAGGGGUUAGGAGCUAGAGUUAGGUUUAGGGGUUAGGAGCUAGGGUUAGGUUUAGGGGUUGGAGCUAGAGUUAGGUUUAGGGGUUAGGAGCUAGAGUUAGGUUUAGGGUUAGGAGCUAGAGUUAGGUUUAGGGGUUAGGAGCUAGGAGCUAGAGUUAGGUUUAGGGGUUAGGAGCUAGGAGCUAGAGUUAGGUUUAGGGGUUAGGAGCUAG